GACGUAGGGUGCAAGCGUUGUCCGGAAUUAUUGGGCGUAAAGGGCUCGUAGGCGGCCAACUAAGUCAGACGUGAAAUCCCUCGGCUUAACCGGGGAACUGCAUCUGAUACUGGAUGGCUUGAGUUCGGGAGAGGGAUGCGGAAUUCCAGGUGUAGCGGUGAAAUGCGUAGAUAUCUGGAGGAACACCGGUGGCGAAGGCGGCAUCCUGGACCGACACUGACGCUGAGGAGCGAAAGCCAGGGGAGCAAACGGG
rnacentral:rRNA from 1 species